rnacentral:rRNA from 1 species
GACGAACGCUGGCGGCGUGCUUAACACAUGCAAGUCGAACGGAAAGGCCCUGCUUUUGUGGGGUGCUCGAGUGGCGAACGGGUGAGUAACCCGUGAGUAACCUGCCCUUGACUUUGGGAUAACUUCAGGAAACUGGGGCUAAUACCGGAUAGGAGCUCCUGCUGCAUGGUGGGGGUUGGAAAGUUUCGGCGGUUGGGGAGGGACUCGCGGCUUAUCAGCUUGUUGGUGGGGUAGUGGCUUACCAAGGCGAGGGCGAGUAGCCGGCCCGAGAGGGUGAGCGGCCACGGUGGGACUGAGAGACGGCGCGGACUCCUACGGGAGGCAGCAGGGGGGAAUGUUCCGCAAUGGGAGGAAGACUGAAGGAGCAAUGCGGCGGGGAGGUAGAAGGCCUACGGGUCGUGAACUUCUUUUCCCGGAGAAGAAGCAAUGACGGUAUCUGGGGAAUAAGCAUCGGCUAACUCUGUG